rnacentral:rRNA from 1 species
GAUGAACGCUGGCGGCGUGCCUAAUACAUGCAAGUCGAGCGAACGGACGAGAAGCUUGCUUCUCUGAUGCUAGCGGCGGACGGGUGAGUAACACGUGGAUAACCUACCUAUAAGACUGGGAUAACUUCGGGAAACCGUAGCUAAUACCGGAUAAUAUUUUGAACCGCAUGGUUCAAAAGUGUAAGACGGUCUUGCUGUCACUUAUAGAUGGAUCCGCGCUGCAUUAGCUAGUUGGUAAGGUAACGGCUUACCAAGGCAACGAUGCAUAGCCGACCUGAGAGGGUGAUCGGCCACACUGGGACUGAGACACGGUCCAGACUCCUACGGGAGGCAGCAGUAGGGAAUCUUCCGCAAUGGGCGAAAGCCUGACGGAGCAACGCCGCGUGAGUGAUGAAGGUCUUCGGAUCGUAAAACUCUGUUAUUAGGGAAGAACAUAUGUGUAAGUAACUGUGCACAUCUUGACGGUACCUAAUCAGAAAGCCACGGCUAACUACGUG